rnacentral:rRNA from 1 species
UAAGGAAUAUUGCUCAAUGGGAGAAAUCCUGAAGCAGCAACGCCGCGUGGAGGAUGAAGGGUCUAUGACUUGUAAACUCCUGUAAAGAAGGAAAAAAUUCCCAUUAGAUGGGAGAUGAUGGUACUUCUGGAGUAAGCCCCGGCUAACUACGUGCCAGCAGCCGCGGUAAUACGUAGGGGGCAAGCGUUGUCCGGAUUUACUGGGUGUAAAGGGUGCUCAGGCGGAUUUGUAAGUCAGAGGUGAAAUCUUACAGCUUAACUGUGAAACUGUCUUUGAUACUGCAAGCCUAGAGUAUGGAAGAGAGUGAUGGAAUAUCUGGUGUAGCAGUGAAAUGCGUAGAUAUCAGAUAGAACACCAAUGGCGAAGGCAGUCACUUGGUCCAUUACUGACGCUAAAGCACGAAAGCGUGGGUAGCAAACA